GACGUAGGAGGCGAGCGUUGUCCGGAUUCAUUGGGCGUAAAGAGCACGCAGGCGGUUUGGCAAGUCGGACGUGAAAAUCCGGGGCCCAACCCCGGACCUGCAUCCGAAACUGCCCGACUAGAGGUAGGUAGGGGAGAUCGGAAUUCCUGGUGUAGCGGUGAAAUGCGCAGAUAUCAGGAGGAACACCGAUGGCGAAGGCAGAUCUCUGGGCCGUAACUGACGCUGAGGAGCGAAAGCAUGGGGAGCGAACAGG
rnacentral:rRNA from 1 species